GAUCCUGGCUCAGGAUGAGCGCUAGCGGCAGGCUUAACACAUGCAAGUCGAGGGGCAGCAUAAUGGAUAGCAAUAUCUAUGGUGGCGACCGGCGCACGGGUGCGUAACGCGUAUGCAACCUACCUUUAACAGGGGGAUAACACUGAGAAAUUGGUACUAAUACCCCAUAAUAUCAUAGAAGGCAUCUUUAUGGUUGAAAUUACCGAUGGUUAGAGAUGGGCAUGCGUUGUA
rnacentral:rRNA from 1 species